rnacentral:rRNA from 1 species
UAACUGAAGAGUUUGAUCAUGGCUCAGAUUGAACGCUGGCGGCAGGCUUAACACAUGCAAGUCGAGCGGGGGAGAUUGCUUCGGUAAUUGACCUAGCGGCGGACGGGUGAGUAAUACUUAGGAAUCUGCCUAUUAAUGGGGGACAACAUCUCGAAAGGGAUGCUAAUACCGCAUACGCCCUACGGGGGAAAGCAGGGGAUCACUU